rnacentral:ncRNA from 1 species
UAAUUGAAGAGUUUGAUCAUGGCUCAGAUUGAACGCUGGCGGCAGGCUUAACACAUGCAAGUCGAGCGGUAGCACAGGGGAGCUUGCUCCCUGGGUGACGAGCGGCGGACGGGUGAGUAAUGUCUGGGAAACUGCCUGAUGGAGGGGGAUAACUACUGGAAACGGUAGCUAAUACCGCAUAAUGUCGCAAGACCAAAGUGGGGGACCUUCGGGCCUCACACCAUCGGAUGUGCCCAGAUGGGAUUAGCUAGUAGGUGGGGUAAUGGCUCACCUAGGCGACGAUCCCUAGC